UAGUGGCCAAUUGGUAGAGCAUGAGACUCUUAAUCUCAUGGUCGUGAGUUCAAGCUCCACACUGGGCAAAA